AUUGAACGCUGGCGGCAUGCUUUACACAUGCAAGUCGAACGGUAACAGGGUGCUUGCACCGCUGACGAGUGGCGAACGGGUGAGUAAUGCGUCGGAACGUGCCGAGUAGUGGGGGAUAACGCAGCGAAAGUUGUGCUAAUACCGCAUACGUACUGAGGUAGAAAGUGGGGGACCUUCGGGCCUCACGCUAUUCGAGCGGCCGACGUCUGAUUAGCUAGUAGGUGAGGUAAAGGCUCACCUAGGCGACGAUCAGUAGCGGGUCUGAGAGGAUGAUCCGCCACACUGGGACCGAGACACGGCCCAGACUCCUACGGGAGGCAGCAGUGGGGAAUUUUGGACAAUGGGCGAAAGCCUGAUCCAGCCAUGCCGCGUGUCUGAAGAAGGCCUUCGGGUUGUAAAGGACUUUUGUCAGGGAGGAAAUCCCUAGCGUUAAUACCGCUGGGGGAUGACAGUACCUGAAGAAUAAGCACCGGCUAACUACGUGCCAGCCGCCGCGGUAAAAC
rnacentral:rRNA from 1 species